GACGAACGCUGGCGGCGCGCUUCACACAUGCAAGUCGAACGAGAAGCCCGGGCUUGCCCGGGUGGACAGUGGCGAACGGGUGAGUAACACGUGAGGAACCUGCCCCGAAGACCGGGACAACACCGGGAAACCGGUGCUAAUACCGGACGCCUUCACCGGAUCGCAUGGUCUGGUGAAGACAUGGAUUCCGCUUCGGGAUGGCCUCGCGGCCUAUCAGCUUGUUGGUGAGGUAAUGGCUCACCAAGGCGACGACGGGUAGCUGGUCUGAGAGGAUGUCCAGCCACACUGGGACUGAGACACGGCCCAGACUCCUACGGGAGGCAGCAGUUAGGAAUCUUGCGCAAUGGGCGAAAGCCUGACGCAGCGACGCCGCGUGCGGGAUGAAGGCCUUCGGGUUGUAAACCGCUUUCAGCAGGGACGAAAUUGACGGUACCUGCAGAAGAAGCCCCGGCCAACUACGUGCCAGCCGCCGCAGUAAGAC
rnacentral:rRNA from 1 species